rnacentral:rRNA from 1 species
GACGAACGCUGGCGGCGUGCUUAACACAUGCAAGUCGAACGGAAAGGCCCUGCUUUUGUGGGGUGCUCGAGUGGCGAACGGGUGAGUAACACGUGAGUAACCUGCCCUUGACUUUGGGAUAACUUCAGGAAACUGGGGCUAAUACCGGAUAGGAGCUCCUGCUGCAUGGUGGGGGUUGGAAAGUUUCGGCGGUUGGGGAUGGACUCGCGGCUUAUCAGCUUGUUGGUGGGGUAGUGGCUUACCAAGGCUUUGACGGGUAGCCGGCCUGAGAGGGUGGCCGGGCACAUUGGGACUGAGGUACGGCCCAGACGCCCACCGGAGGCAGCAGUGGGGAAUAUUGCACAGUGGGCGGAAGCCUGAUGCAGCGACGCCGCGUGCGGGAUGACGGCCUUCGGGUUGUAAACCGCUUUCGCCGGUGACGAAGCGUGAGUGACGGUAAUGGGUAAAGAAGCACCGGCUAACUACGUG